GCCCCCGUCGUCCAACGGUCAGGAUCCCCGUCUUUCAAGCGGGCAACAUCGGUUCGAUUCCGAUCGGGGGCGCCA
rnacentral:tRNA from 1 species